rnacentral:rRNA from 1 species
AACGCGAAGAACCUUACCUGGGUUUGACAUCCUCUGACAAUCAUAGAGAUAUGACUUUUGUAGCAAUACAACAGAGUGACAGGUGCUGCAUGGCUGUCGUCAGCUCGUGUGGUGACAUGUUGGGUUAAGUCCCGCAACGAGCGCAACCCUUGUCUUUAGUUGCCAGCAUUUAGUUGGGCUCUCUAAAGAGACUGCCGUGGUGAACACGGAGGAAGGUGGGGAUGACGUCAAGUCCUCAUGGCCUUUAUAUCCAGGGCGACACACGUGAUACAAUGGAUGGUACAAAGGGAAGCGAAAGAGCAAUCUGGAGCCAAUCUCAAAAAGCCAUUCUCAGUUCGGAUUGGAGUCUGCAACUCGACUCCAUGAAGUUGGAAUCGCUAGUAAUCGCGGAUCAGCACGCCGCGGUGAAUACGUUCCCGGGGCCUUGUACACACCGAGUAUA